rnacentral:tRNA from 1 species
GUGUAGCUCAGUGGUAGAGCACUUGCCUGGUACGUGCGAAGUCCUGGGUUUGAUCCCCAGUAC